rnacentral:rRNA from 1 species
UACGUAGGUGGCAAGCGUUGUCCGGAAUUAUUGGGCGUAAAGCGCGCGCAGGCGGUCUUUUAAGUCUGAUGUGAAAGCCCACGGCUCAACCGUGGAGGGUCAUUGGAAACUGGGAGACUUGAGUGCAGAAGAGAAGAGUGGAAUUCCACGUGUAGCAGUGAAAUGCGUAGAUAUGUGGAGGAACACCGAUGGCGAAGGCAGCCCCCUGGGUUAACACUGACGCUGAGGAGCGAAAGCCAGGGGAGCAAACGGG